rnacentral:rRNA from 1 species
UGGGGAAUAUUGGACAAUGGGCGCAAGCCUGAUCCAGCCAUGCCGCGUGAGUGAUGAAGGCCCUAGGGUUGUAAAGCUCUUUCACCGGUGAAGAUAAUGACGGUAACCGGAGAAGAAGCCCCGGCUAACUUCGUGCCAGCAGCCGCGGUAAUACGAAGGGGGCUAGCGUUGUUCGGAUUUACUGGGCGUAAAGCGCACGUAGGCGGACUAUUAAGUCAGGGGUGAAAUCCCGGGGCUCAACCCCGGAACUGCCUUUGAUACUGGUAGUCUUGAGUUCGAGAGAGGUGAGUGGAAUACCGAGUGUAGAGGUGAAAUUCGUAGAUAUUCGGAGGAACACCAGUGGCGAAGGCGGCUAACUGGCUCGAUACUGACGCUGAGGUGCGAAAGCGUGGGGAGCAAACAGG